rnacentral:lncRNA from 1 species
AGUCCACCUGCGCGGCUGAGUGGAGGAUGCUAGGUUGCUGUGCUGUUUCUCCUACUGUCUUGCUGCCGCACCACCCCUCAGAAAAACCGGGUCGUCAGUUUCCUGCGGUUUGCACUCACCAAAUAUACUUAGCAAUUUGCAAUUCACCCGCAGGAUUAUUCCAGCCUCUGUGAUCACACACAGAAGGAUGAGCCUUCCUCGUGAGGGUUGGAGAUGGAGGGAGAAGGGAUGGAGAGUAAGGAUGGGACGGAGGUUGUGGAGCAGCAGACCAACACGCCAGAAAGGAAAAUAAUGAUCAUCUCAAUUUUUAUAUGUGGAGGCAUUGCUUUUCUUCUUUGGGGGAUUUUAAGAUUUCCCAGAAAAUGUAAGUAAACAAUUUCUGCUAAAAUUAUUAAAUUAAAUUGUUAAAAUUAUUGUAUUAUUGAUUCAGUUGGAUACCAAUAACUAGUCUUUCCUUCCUUAAUAUAGAACAAUUUAGAGAUAAAAGCAUUUUCCAAGACAGUGCAUCUAAUUGCUCUUCAAACUUAGUCACCUGCUUCACCUUCUAGAAUAAUCAGUCUUUCAAUAAAUAUGUAUCAAGCUUUAGGCACAGUGCUGCCUGCUGAUGAUAUAACAAUGAAAAAAAAUGGUAUUUCUUGCCUGAAAGUAGUUUAUCUUUAACUGAAUAUGGAAGCAUGUAAGCAAACAACUGUAACACAAAAGAAAUAAUUACUAAAUAGAACUAUGUUGAAUUUGAAGCAGGAGAGGAGAUUAUAAGUUAGCUGCUUGUAGUCAAGGCUUUAAUGAAGGGAGAAAUAUUUGUGCUGAAUCUUAAACUCAAGUAGGCGUUUAUCAAAGAUCAUCUUAGAACACACAUGUCAGAGAAUCACACCAGGUAUAAUUAUGAUGGAGUUACAAAGAAGUAGGGUGAGGGACUGGCAAUUGUAUUAUAGUUCCCUAGUGCAUUAACUCUUUCACUGCCAUUCAUUAGCAAUUUAUACCUUGUCCUUCAUCUCCAUUCUCCUCAUGCUCAUUCUCAUGUCUAUACCCUUGCUUCCAACUUGUUCUAAUUUUAACAAUUUGUAGGAAACUUCCAAAUGCUCCCAUCACCACACCAGCUUACUUACUCCAUCUCUGCCCCUACACUCUGCCUAGACUCCUGGAACUGUAGAUGCAGUAUUCAUGUUCUACAAUAGAUCCUAUAUUCUUUCACUGGAUCAGUAAUAUCACCCUAGUAAUUCUCCACUCUCCUACAUUAUCCUUUUUUCAUCCUCAACUGAAACAUCUCCAUCAGCAAAUAUGACAUACUGGUAUCUAUAUCAACCUUGAAAAAAUAAACAACAAAAACAACAGAAUUUAUUAGACCCCACUUAUCUUUUAGCAACCAAUUUAUUGUUUUUCUCCUUGGUACAGCAACCUCUUUAAAACGGCUUUUCAAAAUAAUUUUUUAUCUUUCCUUUUUCUGUUAAAUCCACUUGGAUCAAGCUUCCACUCUGCUUUUUCCACCAAACUUGUCUUUCAAGUUCACCAAUAACUUCCAUAUUGCUAAAUCGACUGGUCCAUUCUCCCUCCUCACCUUAUUAUAUAACCUAUUUGCAGCUUUUGGCACUCCCUUUUUCUAAAAAAAAAAAAAAAUUUCAUUUGACUUACAUGACGCCAUAUUCUUGUGGUUUGCUUUCUACUCAUUUUACCAACAACCGUGAUUCCCUGAUUCUCCUUCACUCUGAUCUAUUUUACGACAAACUAUAUAAUUUCAGACGCAUAAGUCCCAUAAGAGUAGGUAUUUCUGUAUGUUAUGUAGGCUAUUCAUAGAGUUACAAAAAUGUCUGGCGUGUAGCAGGUGCUCAAUCGGUAGUUGUUGACUGCGUAAAUGAAAGAAUGAAUUAAUUAGUAAAUGAAUGAGAAAACUGCCUUUCUGGUGACCCAAGUUUUGAAUUAAGUAUUUGGUUUUUAUAUUGGUUAUUGAUUUGAAUUUGACAUUUUAAAAUAAUUUUGAACAUGACACAUUCAAAUAACUUUGAUAACUUGAUUUUUUCACUUCACUCUCAGGUCUCAACUAUAUAGAACCAUAUUGCCAGUUGAUCCUUCCCAUUGAGGAUUUUCCCACUCACAGAUUUGAAGAUGAACCAGUCAUUUAUUUUAGUUGUGGAUAGGAGGUGCUCUCAGAGCUUGUUUCUUUCAGGAUUAUACCUUAACAAGGAACUUCCUUUAUCUAGUGCAGUAACUUAAGGAGUAAAAGUGGAGAGUAAAAAGGGAAAUUUUAGCAUUCUUUUUUCUGUGUUUCUUGUUUCAUAACGGACAAGGAAACAGCGCCACCUUCUAGAGAAAUGCUGUCUUUGAAAGACAAUAUAGUCUCAGUUAAGUUGAUGAUAGGAACCAGCUCACUGAAGUUAUGAAUAUAGAAAAAUUUGUUUAUUUACACUGCAACUUGUUCUAGAGAGCAUAGUAAAUUUUAGGAAAGAAAUAGAUGAAUAAAGAAAAUUCAUGUAGUCUAAAAAUUAGGAGGGAAAAUGGCUGGAAGAUACUGAAUUUCUGGAAGUUUGUUAUUGAGUUUUUAAAUUUUUCAUAGCUCUCAUUCUCCAGUGCUUAUUCCUUUCAUGUUCUCUUCUCGAUAUUCAAUUUUUUUGAAUUGAUGUUUAAAGUUAAGUCAUUCAAAUUGAAUAUGUAAGUAAAACACAUUUUAUUAGUCUGAGCUAUAUAAUAAUAUUUUACUCUGAAGCUCACUCUUUCUUUCUUUGAUACUUUCUUUAUUCUUUUUCUCUAUUACCUGUUAAUUUCAGUUGGAAUUCCAAGGCACCUUAGAAACAAGACAUGCCUAGAAAAUUUGACUAUGUGUCCACAAGGCUGGAACUGAAUCAAUAAUAAUUGCUUCUUUCAAUCUGAACAUGAAACAACGUGGAUCAAUGGCUGAGAAAACUGCAGAAGUUAUGGAUCUCUGGCCAGGCUCAACUCUCAGAAUGAAAUGGGAAUCUUUGAUGCAUUAUCUGGGGCCGUCUUUAUAUUGGUUUGAACUGAGCAAGCACAAUGCAAACAAAACGUGGAUGUGGGCAGAUGGAGCUACAUUCAGCAAUUGUCAAGUUAUGAAACUAGCGAAUUAUUUACAUUAAGUGGAUUUGUUGUUGCUGUCGUUGCUGAAACUAGUGAAAGAAUCGAGUUUUGUGCUAUGAGUCAUGGGAGCAAAACGUGAGUAUUUAGAAGUGGAGAGGACCACGAAGAAGGAAGCCCUGGUGACUUGAAGAAAUCAUGGAGAGUUCUCCGGAUUCCCACAAACCUAUGGGGUUUAGAUUCCAGCUAAUACUUACACGGGUCUCAGAAGGACAGAGGGCAAGGGUUAACAUCUGGCUGAUAUUAAAGUCUCUGCACCUCUUAAUAUUUUACUUUGGCCUAGUUUUCUUUUCUUCGCUUUUACAUUUCCUGAUAUAAUGAGUAAUUCUCUUUUGAGUAUUAACUUGUACCAUGAACUAUGCUAAAUAUUUUUACCCCUAAAUGAUGAAGAAUUUUUAUCAUUUUUUGCUGAAAUAAAUGAGCAAAUGAAAGAUUGUUUACCUGGGAUUAUAGUAAAUGGUAGAACCACAUUUUAAAUUCAGCUGGGUCUCACACACAUUACAGACAUUCAAACAAUGU